rnacentral:rRNA from 1 species
UACGAAGGGGGCUAGCGUUGUUCGGAAUCACUGGGCGUAAAGCGCACGUAGGCGGAUGUGCCAGUCAGGGGUGAAAUCCCGGAGCUCAACUCCGGAACUGCCUCUGAUACAGCACGUCUUGAGUUCGAGAGAGGUGGGUGGAAUUCCUAGUGUAGAGGUGAAAUUCGUAGAUAUUAGGAAGAACACCGGUGGCGAAGGCGGCUCUCUGGGACGGUACUGACGCUGAGACGCGAAAGCGUGGGGAGCGAACAGG